GGGGAAUGGUGUAUAAUAAAUUUAGGUAGUCUUAUGGUAGAAGAAAUCUUUAAAUAGUGGUAGUAAACAUUUUAAAUUGUAUUGAAUGAAGUGAUUGUAAUGUACUAAACAUUUGAUUUGUUCUUUGUCCCUAACUCUGAUGCAUGAGAGGGGAGAGGAGAAUGAAAGGAGUCUGACGUUGGAGCUCCCAUGAGACAGAUAAGAAGAUAAAUGGCUGUGCUUCAAACAAGAGGGGGCUUGCGGAUGAGAGGCUCACCAGGUCCUGCUCCCAUUUGACAGGCCAGUACAGUUUUGUCUACAAACUCUUCUCCUAUGUGUCUGCUGCUACUUAGUUGUACAUACACACAUUAAUAGUGGGAACACAUUUAGUUGGGUGUAUAUAUUUGUUAGUGCUAGACAAUAAGAGCAGUAGUUUUGUUGGUAAAAAGAAAGGCUUGGCAAUAGAAAUAUUGCAUAACCAGAUUUAUUAACCCAGUCUGUUAAUGUUCACUUUUAAUUCAUAGAUGAUUGAACCAAAAAAAUAGUAAUUUACUUUUUUAUCUUUGGAUUUACUGAGAAAACUGUUCUGCUCACAGCUGUGGUCAAUUUACUCAUGUUGUAUUUUAUUUCUCAUUUCAUUUUAGAGAGGAGAUGAAACCAGACCAGAUGAUAGCAGACCAGACCAGAGAGGAGCUGAGGGGGCAGCCUGCAUCACAAACUAGCUUCAAAAGAAAGGUAAGUUUUUUUUUGAAAUUCCACCUUAUUACCUGGUAACUGUUACAUUAUUUUACAAGUAUCUGAAAAUUUUAAUUAAUCUUCCCUUUUUUUCUUUCCAAGUUAUUUGUCUGUUAUAGAAAUGAAACAAGCCUAGACCAAACUGGAGGAGACCAGAGUGGACCAGAUGAUAGCAGACCAGACCAGAGAGGAGCUGAGGGGACAGCCUGCAUCGCAAACUAUCUUAAAAAAAAGGUACAUAUAUUUUAUUCCACCUGCUCUUAUUGGUAACUGUUUCAUUAUUCUACAAGUGUCUGAAGUUCUUUAUUAAUUUUUUUGUCUCCAAAUGUAUUUGUCUUUUAUGGAAAGGAAACAAGCCUAGACCAGACUGGAGGAGACCAGACCAGACCAGAUGAUAACAGACCAGACCAGAGGGGAGCUGAGGGGACAGCCUGCAUCGCAAACCAUCUUUAAUAAAAAGAUACAUUAACUUUAUUCUAAUAUAUUAUUCUAAUUCAUUUCUGGAUGUAUUUUUAAAUGUAGGAUUCAAAUGUUAGUAUUUAAGGUUAAGUAAUGCUUCUACUAUUACAAUUACUUACACUUUUACUCUGGAAUUUAUUUGUGUGUCAUAUAGUGGAGAAGACAGAAACCAGACUAGACCAGAGACCAAGACUGGAGAACAGAGUGGAGACCAGAUGAGUCCAGACCAGAGAAGAGCUGAGGGGGCAGCCGACAUUGCAAACUAACUAAAAAAAAAAAUAAAUAUAUUUUAUCCUUCAUUUAAAUCACAAUUGUUUCACUGUAAAAUUGUUUCAGUCGGAGUCUUCAGUGGUGUUAUAACUUUUCUUUUUCCUCUUAUGUGAUUUGUCUUGUACAGAGAAGACAGAAAAGCAGUCCAGACCAGAUACCAGCUGAGGGGGCAGCAUACCUUACAAGCCAUCUUUAAAAAAUAACGUAAGUUUUUACCAUGCCUUUUUUUUUUUUGUUUUGAUCAAAAUUACUUCACUGUAAAUAUUAUUAUUUCAAAAUUGUCUUCACUUGUUAACUUUUUUGUCGCCCACAUUAUUUGUCCUUUACAGAAAGGAAACAAGUCUAGACCAGACUGGAGGUGUAUAGAUAAUGUCUGAAAUCAGCGUGUUCGUUUUUGUGGUCAGUUGGAGUGGAACAUGAAGCUGUGGUGGCCUCACUGUGAAGCUCUCAUCGCCUACCUGAUGACCUACAGUCACACUAUGAGACCAGAGCUGCUGGAGAGAUUCUCUCAGGUGUAUGAGUACACCUUCAGUCACGUGAGUUAUUACUGAGGGAAACGUACCCGAGGAAAAAUCUCAUGCUACACCUCUGAAGUGUUUAAUGUCAACAAAUGACCGUCACGAUGACUUGUAACUUAUGAAGCCUCACUUAAGAAGCACUGAAAUAUUCCUUUAAUGUUCAUAUUGUAGAAACAUUGGGUAGAAUAGAAAAGAAAAGAAGUUGUAGAGAAGAAAAAAGAUGUUAAAAUAGACGAAAAAGAGAUGCCAAAAAUAGAAUAGCAGAGACUAGUAAUGGGAGUGUGCUAAAUAACCGCGCAAGAUUAACGAAGACAGGGCCCAUAUCUUCUUAACGGUAAGACAAUGUGUAAAUUAGUGACUAUUGUGAACGUCUAUCUCAAAAAGGAUAGUCGAAUUCGGGGCGUGGAAAGAAAAAGUGAGGAGUAAAACCCGGAGCCCAGGGUAAUUGGCAAAUAAAUGAUGAAAAGAGAUAAAGAGUAAAAGAGACAAAGUGAAAAAGAGAAAAAGGCUGAGAUGGCCCAGGAAUAGAGAAGAAAAAGGCUGAGAUGGCCGAAAAAGAGAAAAAGUUAACUCUAUGUUAUGGACAACGCGAUUGGGCAUACAAACCGGUGAGGACAGUUUAAAGAAGAAAAAAAGGCCUAUAUACUAUAGUAAGGAAACACUGAGCUCAGUGUGUGUGUGUGUGUGUGUGUGUGUGUGUGUGUCCCUGUUCUUUGUCCCUAACUCUGAUGCAUGAGAGGGGAGAGGAGAAUGAAAGGAGUCUGACGUUGGAGCGCCCAUGAGACAGAUAAGAAGAUAAAUGGCUGUGCUGCAAACAAGAGGGGGCUUGCGGAUGAGAGGCUCACCAGGUCCUGCUCCCAUUUGACAGGCCAGUACAGUUUUGUCUACAAACUCUUCUCCUAUGUGUCUGCUGCUACUUAGUUGUACAUACACACAUUAAUAGUGGGAACACAUUUAGUUGGGUGUAUAUAUUUGUUAGUGCUAGACAAUAAGAGCAGUAGUUUUGUUGGUAAAAAGAAAGGCUUGGCAAUAGAAAUAUUGCAUAACCAGAUUUAUUAACCCAGUCUGUUAAUGUUCACUUUUAAUUCAUAGAUGAUUGAACCAAAAAAAUAGUAAUUUACUUUUUUAUCUUUGGAUUUACAGAGAAAACUGUUCUGCUCACAGCUGUGGUCAAUUUACUCAUGUUGUAUUUUAUUUCUCAUUUCAUUUUAGAGAGGAGAUGAAACCAGACCAGAUGAUAGCAGACCAGACCAGAGAGGAGCUGAGGGGGCAGCCUGCAUCACAAACUAUCUUCAAAAGAAAGGUAAGUUUUUUUUUUAAAUUCCACCUUAUUUACUGGUAACUGUUACAUUAUUCUACAAGUAUCUGAAAAUUUUAAUUAACCUUCCCUUUUUUUCUUUCCAAGUUAUUUGUCUGUUAUAGAAAUGAAACAAGCCUAGACCAAACUGGAGGAGACCAGAGUGGACCAGAUGAUAGCAGACCAGACCAGAGAGGAGCUGAGGGGACAGCCUGCAUCGCAAACUAUCUUAAAAAAAAGGUAAAUAUAUUUUAUUUUAACUGCUCUUAUUGGUAACUGUUUCAUUAUUCUACAAGUGUCUGAAGUUCUUUAUUAAUUUUUUUGUCUCCAAAUUUAUUUGUCUUUUAUGGAAAGGAAACAAGCCUAGACCAGACUGGAGGAGACCAGACCAGACCAGAUGAUAACAGACCAGACCAGAGGGGAGCUGAGGGGAC
rnacentral:lncRNA from 1 species